rnacentral:rRNA from 1 species
UACAGAGGUCCCAAGCGUUGUUCGGAAUCACUGGGCGUAAAGCGCACGUAGGCGGAUAUGUCAGUCAGGGGUGAAAUCCCGGGGCUCAACCUCGGAACUGCCCUUGAUACAGCAUAUCUUGAGUCCGAUAGAGGUGGGUGGAAUUCCUAGUGUAGAGGUGAAAUUCGUAGAUAUUAGGAAGAACACCGGUGGCGAAGGCGGCCCACUGGAUCGGUACUGACGCUGAGGUGCGAAAGCGUGGGGAGCAAACAGG